rnacentral:tRNA from 1 species
AUAAAGUGGCUGAGUGUUAGGCGUUAGAUUGUAAAUCUAAAAACGAGAAAUUCUCCUUUAUUAG